GGGUGAUCUGACUGAGACAUCUGUCACCCCAUUGAUCGCCAGGGCUGAUCUGGCUGACCUGGCUGGCUAGGCAGGUGUCCCCCUGUUUCAUGUGCGUCCCUCCCUAAGCUGCACGCUCGGUGGAAGAGGAAGACCAUCCCAGAUAGGAGUGUACCGUUCUUUGGUCAAGGCUUGAUGAUAGCUGCGCUCCCUGUAUAGAUAGAACCUCCCUCUGUAAUGCAGGAAUCUCAGCUAAAUUAUUUCAGCUACAUAGUUUGUGAGA
rnacentral:snRNA from 1 species